rnacentral:rRNA from 1 species
GAUGAACGCUGGCGGCGUGCCUAAUACAUGCAAGUCGAGCGAACGGACGAGAAGCUUGCUUCUCUGAUGUUAGCGGCGGACGGGUGAGUAACACGUGGAUAACCUACCUAUAAGACUGGGAUAACUUCGGGAAACCGGAGCUAAUACCGGAUAAUAUUUUGAACCGCAUGGUUCAAAAGUGAAAGACGGUCUUGCUGUCACUUAUAGAUGGAUCCGCGCUGCAUUAGCUAGUUGGUAAGGUAACGGCUUACCAAGGCAACGAUGCAUAGCCGACCUGAGAGGGUGAUCGGCCACACUGGAACUGAGACACGGUCCAGACUCCUACGGGAGGCAGCAGUAGGGAAUCUUCCGCAAUGGGCGAAAGCCUGACGGAGCAACGCCGCGUGAGUGAUGAAGGUCUUCGGAUCGUAAAACUCUGUUAUUAGGGAAGAACAUAUGUGUAAGUAACUGUGCACAUCUUGACGGUACCUAAUCAGAAAGCCACGGCUAACUACGUGCCAGCAGCCGCGGUAAUACGUAGGUGGCAAGCGUUAUCCGGAAUUAUUGGGCGUAAAGCGCGCGUAGGCGGUUUUUUAAGUCUGAUGUGAAAGCCCACGGCUCAACCGUGGAGGGUCAUUGGAAACUGGAAAACUUGAGUGCAGAAGAGGAAAGUGGAAUUCCAUGUGUAGCGGUGAAAUGCGCAGAGAUAUGGAGGAACACCAGUGGCGAAGGCGACUUUCUGGUCUGUAACUGACGCUGAUGUGCGAAAGCGUGGGGAUCAAACAGGAUUAGAUACCCUGGUAGUCCACGCCGUAAACGAUGAGUGCUAAGUGUUAGGGGGUUUCCGCCCCUUAGUGCUGCAGCUAACGCACUAAGCACUCCGCCUGGGGAGUACGACCGCAAGGUUGAAACUCAAAGGAAUUGACGGGGACCCGCACAAGCGGUGGAGCAUGUGGUUUAAUUCGAAGCAACGCGAAGAACCUUACCAAAUCUUGACAUCCUUUGACAACUCUAGAGAUAGAGCUUUCCCCUUCGGGGGACAAAGUGACAGGUGGUGCAUGGUUGUCGUCAGCUCGUGUCGUGAGAUGUUGGGUUAAGUCCCGCAACGAGCGCAACCCUUAAGCUUAGUUGCCAUCAUUAAGUUGGGCACUCUAAGUUGACUGCCGGUGACAAACCGGAGGAAGGUGGGGAUGACGUCAAAUCAUCAUGCCCCUUAUGAUUUGGGCUACACACGUGCUACAAUGGACAAUACAAAGGGCAGCGAAACCGCGAGGUCAAGCAAAUCCCAUAAAGUUGUUCUCAGUUCGGAUUGUAGUCUGCAACUCGACUACAUGAAGCUGGAAUCGCUAGUAAUCGUAGAUCAGCAUGCUACGGUGAAUACGUUCCCGGGUCU